GAAUAAACCGAAACCGAAUUGAACCAAUAACUAUUUUAACCGAACUGAAACUGACCCGCGAGACAUUUAAUCCGAUUUCAAACCGAUCCGAUUUAAUACCGAACCGAACCCAAACUAUCAAACCGUUUUGACAGUGCUACUAGUAAUAGUUAGUUAGUUAUAAUCUCUUUAAUUGUAUUAACUAUUGAUUUAUAAUUCUCAUUGGCCACUCGAUAAAAACACGGAUUAGAAUCCAUACCCCUCAUCAAAACACCCUCACAACUGCUGAUUAAACCCAUCUUUAAUCCAAUGGCCUUAUUCAUCUUCCCAAAAUACCUGUCAAAAAAAAAAAAAAAAAAAAAAAAAAACCUUCCCAAAAUCACCAAUAAUGAAACCUAAUCUAAAUCGGAAAACUUCAACUUUGCUUCAAUUUUUUUCAUUCAAACCCUAUAAUCACGGUUAUCCCUCUUCAACUCUCCUUCAAUUACAACUUUAAUAUCACGGUUCAUCACCAAUUCACCACCCAAUCAGGCGAUCAACAAGAACUCACAAGGAAUACGCCUCCGCUACCCACCAAUAUGCAGGUUAGUCAUUGUGAAUAAGGAGCCAAUUGCCGGAGAAGUGGUGCGGUAUCACGUAUGCUCUCUAAACAGAGGGGUGGCAGCGUGUAUAGUUGUGUACAAGAGAGUGGGAGGUUGAGAGGGGGAGGGUUUUCGCUGGGAUGUUGGGUGAUGUGAAUCAGAGAGCAUUUGAUUCUAUAGCUAGAAAGAGAGUGUCGGUAGAAAAAUAAUAUGUUGCAUCAUCUAGAAGUAAUAAACAGGACAUUAUUGUCUCAGGACUUCAUAUAAAUUCUAUGGUUGAUACACUCUUAUAGGUGAUUUUAUUAAUAUGUUACUAGUUUUGUUUCACCUCAAGAUACUUUAGUUACACUUUACGUACUUAGUCUCAAAAUUUACUUUAGUUAGUCUCUCAAUUAAGUUUGUACUCUUACCAAGUUAAUAAAUUAUGAAUUAGUCC